GACGAACGCUGGCGGCGUGCUUAACACAUGCAAGUCGAACGGAAAGGCCCUGCUUUUGUGGGGUGCUCGAGUGGCGAACGGGUGAGUAACACGUGAGUAACCUGCCCUUGACUUUGGGAUAACUUCAGGAAACUGGGGCUAAUACAGGAUAGGAGCUCCUGCUGCAUGGGGGUGGUUGGAAAGUUUCGGCGGUUGGGGAUGGACUCGCGGCUUAUCAGCUUGUUGGUGGGGUAGUGGCUUACCAAGGCUUUGACGGGUAGCCGGCCUGGGAGGGUGACCGGCCACAUUGGGACUGAGAUACGGCCCAGACUCGUACGGGAGGCAGCAGUGGGGAAUAUUGCAGAAUGGGCGGAAGCCUGAUGAAGCAACGCCGCGUGCGGGAUGACGGCCUUCGGGUGGUAAACCGAUUUCGCCUGUGACGAAGCGUGAGUGACGGUAAUGGGUAAAGAAGCACCGGCUAACUACGUG
rnacentral:rRNA from 1 species